AGGACGAACGCUGGCGGCGUGCUUAACACAUGCAAGUCGAGCGAGGCUCCUCCUUCGGGAGGAUGCCCUAGCGGCGAACGGGUGAGUAACACGUGGGCAACCUGCCCCUAGCACUGGGAUAACCCCGGGAAACCGGGGCUAAUACCGGAUACGACUUCGGAAGGCAUCUUCUGAAGUGGAAAAGGUUACUGGCUAGGGAUGGGCCCGCGGCCUAUCAGCUUGUUGGUGGGGUAAUGGCCCACCAAGGCGACGACGGGUAGCCGGCCUGAGAGGGCGACCGGCCACACUGGGACUGAGACACGGCCCAGAUUCCUACGGGAGGCAGCAGUGGGGAAUAUUGCACAAUGGGCGAAAGCCUGAUGCAGCGACGCCGCGUGAGGGAUGACGGCCUUCGGGUUGUAAACCUCUUUCAGCAGGGACGAAGCGAAAGUGACGGUACCUGCAGAAGAAGCACCGGCCAACUACGUGCCAGCAGCC
rnacentral:rRNA from 1 species